GUUUUGCGUAAGGGAUAGCAGUGGAAAUCCUUUUAUUUUUCUCGUUUUUUACGAGAGAAAUAAAAGAUUGUAACGGAUAGCCCGACCCUGA
rnacentral:sRNA from 1 species